CUACGGGUGGCUGCAGUGGGGAAUAUUGCACAAUGGAGGAAACUCUGAUGUAGCAACGCCGCGUGGAGGAUGACACUUUUCGGAGCGUAAACUCCUUUUAUAUAGGAAGAAGAUGACGGUACUAUAUGAAUAAGCGCCGGCUAACUCCGUGCCAGCAGCCGCGGUAAUACGGAGGGCGCAAGCGUUACUCGGAAUCACUGGGCGUAAAGAGCGUGUAGGCGGAUUAAAAAGUCAGAAGUGAAAUCCUAUAGCUUAACUAUAGAACUGCUUCUGAAACUCUUAAUCUAGAAUAUGGGAGAGGUAGAUGGAAUUUCUGGUGUAGGGGUAAAAUCCGUAGAGAUCAGAAGGAAUACCGAUUGCGAAGGCGAUCUACUAGAACAUUAUUGACGCUGAGACGUGAAAGCGUGGGGAGCAAACAGGAUUAGAUACCCCGGUAGUC
rnacentral:rRNA from 1 species